CUAGCGACAGGACUUAACACAUGCAAGUCGAGGGGCAUCACGGGAGUAGCAAUACAACGUGUAGCGACCGGCGCACGGGUGAGUAACGCGUAUGCAACCUACCUAUCAGGAGGGGAAUAACCCGGCGAAAGUCGGACUAAUACCGCAUAAAACAGGGGCACCGCAUGGUGAUAUUUGUUAAAGAAAUUCGCUGAUAGAUGGGCAUGCGUUCCAUUAGGUAGUUGGUGAGGUAACGGCUCACCAAGCCGACGAUGGAUAGGGGAACUGAGAGGUUGGUCCCCCACACUGGUACUGAGACACGGACCAGACUCCUACGGGAGGCAGCAGUGAGGAAUAUUGGUCAAUGGGCGGGAGCCUGAACCAGCCAAGUCGCGUGAAGGAAGAAGGAUCUAUGGUUCGUAAACUUCUUUUGCAGGGAAUAAAGUGCAGGACGUGUCCUGUUUUGUAUGUACCCUGAGAAUAAGGAUCGGCUAACUCCGUGCCAGCCGCCGC
rnacentral:rRNA from 1 species